rnacentral:rRNA from 1 species
AUUGAACGCUAGCGGCAUGCUUUACACAUGCAAGUCGAACGAGUGGCGGACGGGUGAAUAAUAUAUCGGAACGUCCCCAGUAGCGGGGGAUAACUACUCGAAAGAGUGGCUAAUCCCGCAUACUAUUGGAGCGGCAUAUAUCGGAUUAGCGAGUUGGUGGGGUAAAGGCUCACCAAGGCAACGACCCGUAGCUGGUUUGAGAGGACGACCAGCCACACUGGGACUGAGACACGGCCCAGACUCCUACGGGAGGCAGCAGUGGGGAAUUUUGGACAAUGGGGGAAACCCUGAUCCAGCCAUGCCGCGUGUAUGAGAAGGCCUUCGGGUUGUAAAGUACUUUUAGCAGAGAAGCGGUAUCUGCAGAAGAAGCACCGGCUAACUACGUGCCAGCAGCCGCGGUAAUAC